UGCAAGUCGAACGAUGAACCACUUCGGUGGGGAUUAGUGGCGAACGGGUGAGUAACACGUGGGCAAUCUGCCCUGCACUCUGGGACAAGCCCUGGAAACGGGGUCUAAUACCGGAUACUGAUCCGCCUGGGCAUCCAGGCGGUUCGAAAGCUCCGGCGGUGCAGGAUGAGCCCGCGGCCUAUCAGCUUGUUGGUGAGGUAGUGGCUCACCAAGGCGACGACGGGUAGCCGGCCUGAGAGGGCGACCGGCCACACUGGGACUGAGACACGGCCCAGACUCCUACGGGAGGCAGCAGUGGGGAAUAUUGCACAAUGGGCGAAAGCCUGAUGCAGCGACGCCGCGUGAGGGAUGACGGCCUUCGGGUUGUAAACCUCUUUCAGCAGGGAAGAAGCGAAAGUGACGGUACCUGCAGAAGAAGCGCCGGCUAACUACGUGCCAGCAGCCGCGGUAAUACGUAGGGCGCAAGCGUUGUCCGGAAUUAUUGGGCGUAAA
rnacentral:rRNA from 1 species